rnacentral:rRNA from 1 species
GCGACGAUCCGUAGCUGGUCUGAGAGGACGACCAGCCACACUGGGACUGAGACACGGUCCAGACUCCUACGGGAGGCAGCAGUGGGGAAUUUUGGACAAUGGGGGCAACCCUGAUCCAGCCAUUCCGCGUGAGUGAAGAAGGCCUUCGGGUUGUAAAGCUCUUUCGGCAGGAAAGAAAUGGCUUGGGUUAAUACCAUGAGUUAAUGACGGUACCUGAAGAAGAAGCACCGGCUAACUACGUGCCAGCAGCCGCGGUAAUACGUAGGGUGCGAGCGUUAAUCGGAAUUACUGGGCGUAAAGCGUGCGCAGGCGGUUUUGUAAGACAGAUGUGAAAUCCCCGGGCUUAACCUGGGAACUGCGUUUGUGACUGCAAGACUUGAGUGCGGCAGAGGGGGGUGGAAUUCCACGUGUAGCAGUGAAAUGCGUAGAGAUGUGGAGGAACACCGAUGGCGAAGGCAGCCCCCUGGGUCGACACUGACGCUCAUGCACGAGAGCGUGGGUAGCAAACAGGAUUAGAUACCCUGGUAGUCC